UACGAAGGGGGCUAGCGUUGCUCGGAAUCACUGGGCGUAAAGGGCGCGUAGGCGGAUCUUUAAGUCGGGGGUGAAAGCCCAGGGCUCAACCCUGGAAUUGCCUUCGAUACUGAAGAUCUCGAGACCGGAAGAGGUAAGUGGAACUGCGAGUGUAGAGGUGAAAUUCGUAGAUAUUCGCAAGAACACCAGUGGCGAAGGCGGCUUACUGGUCCGGUUCUGACGCUGAGGCGCGAAAGCGUGGGGAGCAAACAGGG
rnacentral:rRNA from 1 species